UUGAAAGAAAUACGGCGGUAUAGACGGGGGGGGGGGGAAUUGUGAUGGAAUCAACAGGAGAGUGAAGGGUUUUGCAGGAAUACAAAAGUAUCGGUAGGAGAUUGGGAGGGCAAGUGUGGAGAAGAAGAGUGAGGACAAUCACCAAAGAACCUAACAAAGAUGCACUGGGUUUGCAAGUCAACGAGCAUUUACUAAGCGCCUACUGUAUGCCAAGAGACGAGAGGCCUUUGGAGGAAUAGAAUGCUGUUUGCAGGAUGCCAAUUUUUUUUUUUGCAGGAAUGUGAUGGUGUUUGCUGAAGAGUUGAUGGUGUUUGCAAGAAUCUGAUGGUGUUUGCAAAGAGAGGUGAGGUUUGCGAGAAUAAAAUUGUGUCUAUCUUAGUGAGAUGGGGGUUGUGGGAAUAAGGCUGUACUUGCAGACAUGUAAUACUGUUUGCAGGAGAUCAAUGGUGUUUGCAAGAGGGUGAUGGCGUCUGCAGGAGAAUGAUGGCGUUUGCAGAUACGGGCAGGCGUUCGCGGGAGAAUGACAGUGUUUGCCGGAGAAUGGUGGUGUUUGUAGGAAGCCAUGAUAUGUGUGGAAAUGGGACGGGACUUCAAGAAACACAGCGGGGCUGAAGCUAAGCUGGGAACAUCGAAUAUGUCUGCAAGGGAGAUGUGGUGGGUGGGUGGGUGGGGGUGAUAAUAUUUGAGGGAUGCUGUGCCUUCUAUAGGAAUCUGAUGGCAGGAGAGUGAAAGUGUUUGGAGGAGAGAGAUGCUGUUUGAAGAAAUAUGACUAAGUGUGCAGGAGGGUGAAGGUGUUUACAAGAGGGUGGAAGUGUUUGCUGGAGGGUGAAAGUGCUUGCAGGAAUGAGAGGGUAUUUAUUUGCAAGAAGGAGAGGGUACUUCUAGGAGGAUGGAAGAAGGGCAAGAUGUUUGCAGGAAGGGUGAAGGUAUUUUCAGGAAGAAGUUUUCUGGCAGAAAGAGGAAGAAGUUUGCAGGAAGGAAAAGUUACUUGCAGGAAGGAGAAGGGGUUUGCAGAAAGGGGAAGAAGUUUACAGGAAAGAAAAGUUGUUUGCAGGAAGGAGAAGUUGUUUGCAGAAAGAAACAGGUUUUUGCAAGAGGGUGAAGGUAUUUGUAGGUAGGAGAGAGUAUUUACAGAAGAGUGAAGAGGUUUGCAGAAGGAUGAAUGUGUUUGCAAGAAAGUGAAAAGGUUUGCAGGAGGAUGAAAGUGUUUGCAGGAGGGAGGUGUUUGCAGGAAGGUGAAGGUGUUUGUAGGAAGAAACAGGUGUUUAUGGGAGGGUGAAGGUGUUUGUAGAGCAGGAAGAAGAAGGUGUUUGCAGGAAGGAGAAGGUAUUUGUGGGAGGGUGAAAAUGUUUGUAGGUAGGAGAAAGUAUUUACAGAAGAGUGAAGGUGUUUGCAGAAGGAUGAAUGUGUUUGCAAGAAGGUGAAGAGGUUUGCAGAAGGAUGAAAGUGUUUGCAGGAAAAGGAAAGAGAAGGUGUUUGCAGGAAAGAGAAGGUGUUUGCAGGAAAGAGAAGGUCUCUGCAGGAAAGUGACGGUGUUUGCAGGAAGAAACAGCUAUUUGCAAGAGGAUGAAGGUGUUUGUAAGGUGAAGAGGUUUGCAGGGGGAUGAAAGUGUUUGUAGGAAGGAGAAGGUGUCUGCAGAAAGGAAAAGUCUCUGCAGGAAGGUGAAGGUGUCUGCAGGUGUUGGGGGGAGGGUGAAGGUGUUUGCAGGAAGGUGAAGGUGUUUGUAGUGCAGGAAGAUGGAGGUGUCUGCAGGAAGGUGAAGGUGUCUGCAGGAAGGUGAAGGUGUCUGCAGGAAGGUGAAGGUGUCUGCAGGAAGGUGAAAGUGUCUGCAGGAAGAAACAGGUGUUUAUGGGAGGGUGAAGGUGUUUAUAGAUAGGAGAAAGUAUUUACAGAAGAGUGAAGGUGUUUGCAGAAGGAUGAAUGUAUUUGCAAGAAGGUGAAGAGGUCUGCAGGAGGAUGAAAGUGUUUGUAGGAGGGAGGUGUUUGCAGGAAGGUGAAGGUGUUUUCAGGAAGAAACAGGUGUUUAUGGGAAGGUGAAGGUGCUUGUAGUGCAAGAAGGAGAAGGUGUUUGUAGGAAGGAGAAGGUAUUUGUGGGAGGGUGAAGGUGUUUGUAGAUAGGAGAAAGUAUUUACAGAAGAGUGAAGGUGUUUGCAGAAGGAUGAAUGUGUUUGCAAGAAGGUGAAGAAGUUUGCAGGAUGAAAGUGUUUGCAGGAAGAAGCUGUUUGCAGGAAGAAGGUACUUGCAGGAAGGAAAAGUCUCUGCAGGAAGGUGAAGGUGUUUGUGGUGCAGGAAGAUGGAGGUGUCUGCAGGAAGGUGAAGGUGUCUGCAGGAAGGUGGAGGUGUUUGCAGGAAGAAACAGGUGUUGGUGGGAGGGUGAAGGUGUUUGUAGGUAGGAGAAAGGAUUUACAGAAGAAUGAAGCUGUUUGCAGAAGGAUGAAUGUGUUUGCAGGAAGGUGGAGGUGUCUGCAGGAAGGUGGAGGUGUCUGCAGGAAGGUGGAGGUGUUUGUAGGAAGAAACAGGUGUUGGUGGGAGGGUGAAGGAAGGUGAAGGUGUCUGCAGGAAGGUGGAGGUGUUUGUAGUGCAGGAAGGUGACGGUGUCUGCAGGAAGGUGAAGGUGUUUGUAGGAAGAAACAGGUGUUGGUGGGAGGGUGAAGGAAGGUGACGGUGUCUGCGGGAAGGUGAAGGUGUUUGUAGUGCAGGAAGGUGACGGUGUCUGCAGGAAGGUGACAGUGUCUGCAGGAAGGUGGUAUCUGCAGAAGACUGAAGGGGUCCCCAGGUUUUGCAAGGCUGGAUUUGGGGGAUUAUAUUUGCACGUAUUUUGGAAAUAAAAAGCUGUUAUUAAAAAAGCGCGAGGAUGUUUGCAAGCACAGCCCGGGGUUCUCCAGAAUGCAAUGGCGUUCUCAGAAAUCCGCUCUUGUUUGCAGGAGCCACUUGAAAGAAUUGCAGCGAGCCUUGUUCUUUGCAGGAGAGCAAAGAUGUUUGCAGGUUUCCAGAAGGCCGCCCUCAUCACACCCCUCAGGAAGAGGCAGGGAAAAUGAGCUCUUCCCCAUUUUACAGAUAAAGAAACUGAGGCUCAAAACUGGAGGCUUGAACUCAGCUCCCCAGUGGAGAUGAGUGGGGGGUAUUUAAUUCCCUGCUCCCCCGGGGCUCCCCAAGCCCAACGCCCACGCUCUGGAACAAGCCCCCGACUCUCUGUGGCCCCCGGGCCUCCAUCCCCGCUCUGCCCAGCUCCGUGAAACCCGAGCGCUUCCCACUGCCGGGGGCGCAGGGGGUGGGGGGCCCGUGGGGGGCCGCAGCCUUGGCUGCUGUUUUACUGAAACAGCAACACGUGAUUCUCCGGGGAUUCGGGAAAAGCCACACGGGGACAGCCGGGCGUGUCCCAGUCAGAGCCCCGGACGGCGAUUGCUUCCCACUGGUCAGCGGGCGGGGGAGGGGCUCUCCUGCCCGGGCAAAGGGACGGACGCCCCGAGGCUGAAAAGUGUUCCAAGAGAAACUCCCAAGGGAGCCCUCGCGGUCAGGCGGGCCGGAGGCGGGAAAGCCCCCGCUGAGGACUUAGCAUGUGCCGGGCACGCGCCACAAUCCCGGGGCCCAGGAAGGAAGUCCCUGCGUGGAAAAUGCGUCCGCGUCCAGAGUGGACCGUGGAGACCGAACGUAGGUCGAGGAAGACACUUUUCGGCCUUUGUUUGCUUUCUCUUUCUUGUGAUUUUCCCUUUGAUUCCGAUUUUUCUCGAACAACGUGAAUAAUAAGGAAAUGUCUAUAAAAUGA